AUUGAACGCUGGCGGCAUGCUUUACACAUGCAAGUCGAACGGUAACAGGGUGCUUGCACCGCUGACGAGUGGCGAACGGGUGAGUAAUGCGUCGGAACGUGCCGAGUAGUGGGGGAUAACGCAGCGAAAGUUGUGCUAAUACCGCAUACGUACUGAGGUAGAAAGUGGGGGACCUUCGGGCCUCACGCUAUUCGAGCGGCCGACGUCGGAUUAGCUAGUAGGUGAGGUAAAGGCUCACCUAGGCGACGAUCAGUAGCGGGUCUGUGAGGAUGAUCCGCGACACUGGGACUGAGACACGGCCCAGACUCCUACGGGAGGCAGCAGUGGGGAAUUUUGGACAAUGGGCGAAAGCCUGAUCCAGCCAUGCCGCGUGUCUGAAGAAGGCCUUCGGGUUGUAAAGGACUUUUGUCAGGGAGGAAAUCCCUAGUGCUAAUAACACUGGGGGAUGACAGUACCUGAAGAAUAAGCACCGGCUAACUACGUGCCAGCAGCCGCCGUAA
rnacentral:rRNA from 1 species